rnacentral:rRNA from 1 species
GAUCAUGGCUCAGGAUGAACGCUAGCUACAGGCUUAACACAUGCAAGUCGAGGGGGCAGCAUGGUCUUAGCUUGCUAAGGCCGAUGGCGACCGGCGCACGGGUGAGUAACACGUAUCCAACCUGCCGUCUACUCGUUGGACAGCCUUCUGAAAGGAAGAUUAACUACAAGAUGGCAUCAUGAGUUCCGCAUGUUCACAUGAUUAAAGGUAUUCCGGUAGACGAUGGGGA